GAUGAACGCUGGCGGCGUGCCUAAUACAUGCAAGUCGAGCGAACGGACGAGAAGCUUGCUUCUCUGAUGUUAGCGGCGGACGGGUGAGUAACACGUGGAUAACCUACCUAUAAGACUGGGAUAACUUCGGGAAACCGGAGCUAAUACCGGAUAAUAUUUUGAACCGCAUGGUUCAAAAGUGAAAGACGGUCUUGCUGUCACUUAUAGAUGGAUCCGCGCUGCAUUAGCUAGUUGGUAAGGUAACGGCUUACCAAGGCAACGAUGCAUAGCCGACCUGAGAGGGUGAUCGGCCACACUGGAACUGAGACACGGUCCAGACUCCUACGGGAGGCAGCAGUAGGGAAUCUUCCGCAAUGGGCGAAAGCCUGGCGGAGCAACGCCGCGUGAGUGAUGAAGGUCUUCGGAUCGUAAAACUCUGUUAUUAGGGAAGAACAUAUGUGUAAGUAACUGUGCACAUCUUGACGGUACCUAAUCAGAAAGCCACGGCUAACUACGUGCCAGCAGCCGCGGUAAUACGUAGGUGGCAAGCGUUAUCCGGAAUUAUUGGGCGUAAAGCGCGCGUAGGCGGUUUUUUAAGUCUGAUGUGAAAGCCCACGGCUCAACCGUGGAGGGUCAUUGGAAACUGGAAAACUUGAGUGCAGAAGAGGAAAGUGGAAUUCCAUGUGUAGCGGUGAAAUGCGCAGAGAUAUGGAGGAACACCAGUGGCGAAGGCGACUUUCUGGUCUGUAACUGACGCUGAUGUGCGAAAGCGUGGGGAUCAAACAGGAUUAGAUACCCUGGUAGUCCACGCCGUAAACGAUGAGUGCUAAGUGUUAGGGGGUUUCCGCCCCUUAGUGCUGCAGCUAACGCAUUAAGCACUCCGCCUGGGGAGUACGACCGCAAGGUUGAAACUCAAAGGAAUUGACGGGGACCCGCACAAGCGGUGGAGCAUGUGGUUUAAUUCGAAGCAACGCGAAGAACCUUACCAAAUCUUGACAUCCUUUGACAACUCUAGAGAUAGAGCUUUCCCCUUCGGGGGACAAAGUGACAGGUGGUGCAUGGUUGUCGUCAGCUCGUGUCGUGAGAUGUUGGGUUAAGUCCCGCAACGAGCGCAACCCUUAAGCUUAGUUGCCAUCAUUAAGUUGGGCACUCUAAGUUGACUGCCGGUGACAAACCGGAGGAAGGUGGGGAUGACGUCAAAUCAUCAUGCCCCUUAUGAUUUGGGCUACACACGUGCUACAAUGGACAAUACAAAGGGCAGCGAAACCGCGAGGUCAAGCAAAUCCCAUAAAGUUGUUCUCAGUUCGGAUUGUAGUCUGCAACUCGACUACAUGAAGCUGGAAUCGCUAGUAAUCGUAGAUCAGCAUGCCACGGUGAAUACGUUCCCGGGUCU
rnacentral:rRNA from 1 species